rnacentral:tRNA from 1 species
GGGUGUAGCUCAAGUGGUAGAGCACAUGCUUAGCAUGCACGAGGUCCUGGGUUCAAUCCCCAGUACCUCCA